rnacentral:rRNA from 1 species
GACGAACGCUGGCGGCGUGCCUAAUACAUGCAAGUUGAGCGCUGAAGGUUGGUACUUGUACCAACUGGAUGAGCAGCGAACGGGUGAGUAACGCGUGGUGAAUCUGCCUUUGAGCGGUUUACAACAUUUGGAAACGAAUGCUAAUACCGCAUAAAAACUUUAAACACAAGUUUUAAGUUUUAAAGAUGCAAUUGCAUCACUCAAAGAUGAUCCCGCGUUGUAUUAGCUAGUUGGCGAGGUAAAGGCUCACCAAGGCGAUGAUACAUAGCCGACCUGAGAGGGGGAGAGGCAACAUUGGGACUGAGACACGGCCCAAAAUCCUACGGGAGGCAGCAGUAGGGAAUCUUCGGCAAUGGACGAAAGUAGGACCGAGCAACGCCGCGUGAGUGAAGAAGGUUUUCGGAUCGUAAAACUCUGUUGGUAGAGAAGAACGUUGGUGAGAGUGGAAAGCUCAUCAAGUGACGGUAACUACCCAGAAAGGGACGGCUAACUACGUG